AAAUUGAAGAGUUUGAUCAUGGCUCAGAUUGAACGCUGGCGGCAGGCCUAACACAUGCAAGUCGAACGGUAACAGGAAGAAGCUUGCUUCUUUGCUGACGAGUGGCGGACGGGUGAGUAAUGUCUGGGAAACUGCCUGAUGGAGGGGGAUAACUACUGGAAACGGUAGCUAAUACCGCAUAACGUCGCAAGACCAAAGAGGGGGACCUUCGGGCCUCU
rnacentral:rRNA from 1 species